rnacentral:rRNA from 1 species
AGAGUUUGAUUAUGGCUCAGGAUGAACGCUAGCGAUAGGCAUAACACAUGCAAGUCGAGGGGCAGCACAUGAAGUAGCAAUACGGAUGGUGGCGACCGGCGCACGGGUGAGUAACGCGUAUGCAACCUGCCUACAACAGGGGAAUAACCCGUUGAAAGACGGACUAAUACCCCAUAACACAGGGAUCCCGCAUGGGAAUAUUUGUUAAAGAUUUAUCGGUUGUAGAUGGGCAUGCGUUCCAUUAGCUUGUUGGUGAGGUAACGGCUCACCAAGGCAACGAUGGAUAGGGGAACUGAGAGGUUUAUCCCCCACACUGGUACUGAGACACGGACCAGACUCCUACGGGAGGCAGCAGUGAGGAAUAUUGGUCAAUGGACGCAAGUCUGAACCAGCCACGUCGCGUGAAGGAAGACGGCCCUACGGGUUGUAAACUUCUUUUGUAAGGGAAUAAAGUGUAGUACGUGUACUAUUUUGCAUGUACCUUACGAAUAAGGAUCGGCUAACUCCGUGCCAGCAGCCGCGGUAAUACGGAGGAUCCGAGCGUUAUCCGGAUUUAUUGGGUUUAAAGGGUGCGCAGGCGGGAGAUUAAGUCGGCGGUGAAAUUUUGCAGCUCAACUGUAAAAGUGCCUUCGAAACUGGUUUCCUUGAGUGUGGAUGAAGUAGGCGGAAUUUGUGGUGUAGCGGUGAAAUGCAUAGAUAUCACGAGGAACUCCGAUUGCGCAGGCAGCUUACUAAACCAUAACUGACGCUCAGGCACGAAGGCGUGGGGAUCAAACAGGAUUAGAUACCCUGGUAGUC